rnacentral:rRNA from 1 species
AUAUUCACAAUGGGCGCAAGCCUGAUGCAGCGACGCCGCGUGAGGGAUGACGGCCUUCGGGUUGUAAACCUCUUUCAGCAGGGAAGAAGCGUGAGUGACGGUACCUGCAGAAGAAGCGCCGGCUAACUACGUGCCAGCAGCCGCGGUAAUACGUAGGGCGCGAGCGUUGUCCGGAAUUAUUGGGCGUAAAGAGCUCGUAGGCGGCUUGUCGCGUCGGUUGUGAAAGCCCGGGGCUUAACCCCGGGUCUGCAGUCGAUACGGGCAGGCUAGAGUUCGGUAGGGGAGAUCGGAAUUCCUGGUGUAGCGGUGAAAUGCGCAGAUAUCAGGAGGAACACCGGUGGCGAAGGCGGAUCUCUGGGCCGAUACUGACGCUGAGGAGCGAAAGCGUGGGGAGCGAACAGGAUUAGAUACCCUGGUAGUCCAAAA